UGACGCACGAGGCGCUGUUGGCCUGCGCCGCGCAGCUGCUGGCGGCGCAAGGCACGUUCUGCGUGGUGCUGCCGCAC
rnacentral:tRNA from 1 species